rnacentral:rRNA from 1 species
CCUACGGGUGGCAGCAGUGGGGAAUAUUGGGCAAUGGGCGCAAGCCUGACCCAGCAACGCCGCGUGAGGGAAGAAGGCUUUCGUGUUGUAAACUUCUUUUGACAGGGAAGAGCAGAAGACGGUACCUGUCGAAUAAGCCACGGCUAACUACGUGCCAGCAGCCGCGGUAAUACGUAGGUGGCAAGCGUUGUCCGGAUUUACUGGGUGUAAAGGGCGUGUAGCCGGUCUGACAAGUCAGAUGUGAAAUCCUGGGGCUUAACACCCGAACUGCAUUUGAAACUGUUUGGCUGGAGUAUCGGAGAGGAUGGUGGAAUUCCUAGUGUAGCGGUGAAAUGCGUAGAUAUUAGGAGGAACACCAGUGGCGAAGGCGGCCUGCUGGACGACAACUGACGGUGAGGCGCGAAAGCGUGGGGAGCAAACAGGAUUAGAUACCCGUGUAGUC